CGCGGCCUAUCAGCUUGUUGGUGAGGUAACGGCUCACCAAGGCAUCGACGGGUAGCUGGUCUGAGAGGAUGAUCAGCCACACUGGGACUGAGACACGGCCCAGACUCCUACGGGAGGCAGCAGUAGGGAAUAUUGCACAAUGGGCGAAAGCCUGAUGCAGCAACGCCGCGUGCGGGAAGAAGGCCCUAGGGUUGUAAACCGCUUUCAGCAGGGAAGAAAAUGACGGUACCUGCAGAAGAAGGUGCGGCCAACUACGUGCCAGCAGCCGCGGUGACACGUAGGCACCAAGCGUUGUCCGGAUUUAUUGGGCGUAAAGAGCUCGUAGGCGGUUCAGUUAGUCGGGUGUGAAAACUCUGGGCUCAACCCAGAGACGCCACUCGAUACUGCUGUGACUAGAGUGCGGUAGGGGAGCGGGGAAUUCCUAGUGUAGCGGUGAAAUGCGCAGAUAUUAGGAGGAACACCAGUGGCGAAGGCGCCGCUCUGGGCCGUAACUGACGCUGAGGAGCAAAAGCGUGGGUAGCAAACAGGAUUAGAUACCCUGGUAGUCCACGCCGUAAACGUUGGGCACUAGGUGUGGGUCUCAACCAACGAGAUCCGCGCCGUCGCUAACGCAUUAAGUGCCCCGCCUGGGGAGUACGG
rnacentral:rRNA from 1 species